rnacentral:rRNA from 1 species
AGCGAACGCUGGCGGCAGGCCUAACACAUGCAAGUCGAACGAAGUCUUCGGACUUAGUGGCGGACGGGUGAGUAACACGUGGGAACGUGCCUUUAGGUUCGGAAUAACUCAGGGAAACUUGUGCUAAUACCGAAUGUGCCCUUUGGGGGAAAGAUUUAUCGCCUUUAGAGCGGCCCGCGUCUGAUUAGCUAAUUGGUGAGAUAAAGGCUCACCAAGGCGACGAUCAGUAGCUGGUCUGAGAGGAUGUUCAGCCACAUUGGGACUGAGACACGGCCCAAACUCCUACGGGAGGCAGCAGUGGGGAAUCUUGCGCAAUGGGCGAAAGCCUGACGCAGCCAUGCCGCGUGAAUGAUGAAGGUCUUAGGAUUGUAAAAUUCUUUCACCGGGGACGAUAAUGACGGUACCCGGAGAAGAAGCCCCGGCUAACUUCGUGCCAGCCGCCGCGGUAAUAC